rnacentral:rRNA from 1 species
UGGGGAAUUUUGGACAAUGGGCGAAAGCCUGAUCCAGCAAUGCCGCGUGUGUGAAGAAGGCCUUCGGGUUGUAAAGCACUUUUGUCCGGAAAGAAAUCCUCUGGGUUAAUACCUCGGGGGGAUGACGGUACCGGAAGAAUAAGCACCGGCUAACUACGUGCCAGCAGCCGCGGUAAUACGUAGGGUGCAAGCGUUAAUCGGAAUUACUGGGCGUAAAGCGUGCGCAGGCGGUUUUGUAAGACGGAUGUGAAAUCCCCGGGCUUAACCUGGGAACUGCAUUCGUGACUGCAAGGCUAGAGUAUGGCAGAGGGGGGUUAGAAUUCCACGUGUGAGCAGUGAAAUGCGUAGAGAUGUGGAGGAAUACCGAUGGCGAAGGCAGCCCCCUGGGCCAAUACUGACGCUCAUGCACGAAAGCGUGGGGAGCAAACAGGAUUAGAUACCCUGGUAGUCCACGCCCUAAACGAUGUCAACUAG